UGCAGUCGAACGGUAACAGGAUGUGCUUGCACAUCGCUGACGAGUGGCGGACGGGUGAGUAAUGCUUGGGAACUUGCCUUUGCGAGGGGGAUAACAGUUGGAAACGACUGCUAAUACCGCAUAAUGUCUUCGGACCAAACGGGGCUUCGGCUCCGGCGCAGAGAGAGGCCCAAGUGAGAUUAGCUAGUUGGUGAGGUAAAGGCUCACCAAGGCGACGAUCUCUAGCUGUUCUGAGAGGAAGAUCAGCCACACUGGGACUGAGACACGGCCCAGACUCCUACGGGAGGCAGCAGUGGGGAAUAUUGCACAAUGGGGGAAACCCUGAUGCAGCCAUGCCGCGUGUGUGAAGAAGGCCUUCGGGUUGUAAAGCACUUUCAGUUGUGAGGAAAAGUUAGUAGUUAAUACCUGCUAGCCGUGACGUUAACAACAGAAGAAGCACCGGCUAACUCCGUGCCAGCAGCCGCGGUAAUACGGAGGGUGCGAGCGUUAAUCGGAAUUACUGGGCGUAAAGCGCACGCAGGCGGUUUGUUAAGCUAGAUGUGAAAGCCCCGGGCUCAACCUGGGAUGGUCAUUUAGAACUGGCAGACUAGAGUCUUGGAGAGGGGAGUGGAAUUCCAGGUGUAGCGGUGAAAUGCGUAGAUAUCUGGAGGAACAUCAGUGGCGAAGGCGACUCCCUGGCCAAAGACUGACGCUCAUGUGCGAAAGUGUGGGUAGCGAACAGGAUUAGAUACCCUGGUAGUCCACACCGUAAACGCUGUCUACUAGCUGUUUGUGAUUUUAAAUCGUGAGUA
rnacentral:rRNA from 1 species